rnacentral:rRNA from 1 species
UAUCGACGGCGGUGUUUGGCACCUCGAUGUCGGCUCAUCACAUCCUGGGGCUGAAGCGGGUCCCAAGGGUAUGGCUGUUCGCCAUUUAAAGUGGUACGCGAGCUGGGUUCAGAACGUCGUGAGACAGUUCGGUCCCUAUCUGCCGUGGGCGUUAGAAUAUUGAGGAAAGCUGCUCCUAGUACGAGAGGACCGGAGUGGACGAACCUCUGGUGUACCGGUUGUCACGCCAGUGGCAUAGCCGGGUAGCUAAGUUCGGACAGGAUAACCGCUGAAAGCAUCUAAGCGGGAAGCCCCUUCCAAGAUGAGUAUUCUCUGGAGACUUGAUCUCCCUAAAGGGCCGUUGAAGACUACGACGUUGAUAGGCACCAUGUGGAAGUGCAGUAAUGCAUGCAGCUAAGGUGUACUAAUUGCCCGUGAGGCUUGAUUCUAUAACCUUGAAUGGUUU